UACGGAGGGAGCUAGCGUUAUUCGGAAUUACUGGGCGUAAAGCGCACGUAGGCGGGUCUUUAAGUCAGGGGUGAAAUCCUGGAGCUCAACUCCAGAACUGCCUUUGAUACUGAAGAUCUUGAGUUCGGGAGAGGUGAGUGGAACUGCGAGUGUAGAGGUGAAAUUCGUAGAUAUUCGCAAGAACACCAGUGGCGAAGGCGGCUCACUGGCCCGGUACUGACGCUGAGGCGCGAAAGCGUGGGGAGCAAACAGG
rnacentral:rRNA from 1 species